rnacentral:rRNA from 1 species
GACGAACGCUGGCGGCGUGCUUAACACAUGCAAGUCGAACGGUAAGGCCUCUUCGGGGGUACACGAGUGGCGAACGGGUGAGUAACACGUGAGUAACCUGCCCUUGACUUUGGGAUAACAUCUGGAAACAGGUGCUAAUACCGGAUAUGAGAUCUUUCUGCAUGGGGAGGGUUGGAAAGCUCCGGCGGUCAUGGAUGGACUCGCGGCCUAUCAGCUUGUUGGUGAGGUAGCGGCUAACCAAGGCUCCGACGGGUAGCCGGCCUGAGAGGGCGACCGGCCACAUUGGGACUGAGAUACGGCCCAAACUCCUACGGGAGGCAGCAGUGGGGAAUAUUGCACAAUGGGCGGAAGCCUGAUGCAGCAACGCCGCGUGCGGGAUGACGGCCUUCGGGUUGUAAACCGCUUUCAGCAGGGACGAAGCUAACGUGACGGUACCUGCAGAAGAAGCACCGGCUAACUACGUGCCAGCAGCCGCAGUAAUAC